rnacentral:rRNA from 1 species
CCCUUAGAUGUUCUGGGCCGCACGCGCGCUACACUGAUGCAUUCAACGAGCCUAUCCUUGACCGACAGGUCCGGGUAAUCUUUGAAUCUGCAUCGUGACGGGGAUAGAUUAUUGCAAUUAUUAAUCUUCAACGAGGAAUGCCUAGUAGGCGCAAGUCAUCAGCUUGCGUCGAUUACGUCCCUGCCCUUUGUACACACCGCCCGUCGCUCCUACCGAUUGGGUGUGCUGGUGAAAUGUUCGGAUCGGCCGUUUGUCGCGGUUUCCGCGUCAUGUGGCUGAGAAGUUCAUUAAACCCUCCCAUCUAGAGGAAGGUGAAGUCGUAACA